GAUGAACGCUGGCGGCGUGCCUAAUACAUGCAAGUCGAGCGAACAGACGAGGAGCUUGCUCUUCUGACGUUAGCGGCGGACGGGUGAGUAACACGUGGAUAACCUUCCUAUUCGACUUGGAUAACUUCGGGAAACCGGAGCUAAUACUGGAUAAUAUAUUGAACCGCAUGGUUCAAUAGUGAAUGACGGUUUUGCUGUCUCUUAUAGAUGGUUCCGCGCUGCAUUAGCUAGUUGGUAAGGUAACGGCUUACCAAGGCAACGAUGCGUAGCCGACCUGAGAGGGUGAUCGGCCACACUGGGACUGAGACACGGUCCAGACUCCGACGGGCGGCAGCAGUAGGGAAUCGUCCGAGAUGGGCGAAAGCCUGACGGAGCAGCGCCGCGUGAGUGAUGAAGGUCUUCGGAUCGUAAAACUCUGUUAUUAGGGAAGAACAAAUGUGUAAGUAACUAUGCACGUCUUGACGGUACCUAGUCAGAAAGCCACGGCUAACUACGUG
rnacentral:rRNA from 1 species